rnacentral:misc_RNA from 1 species
ACUGUCUCCUUUCCGCCUGGUAUGUUUGUUAAAGUCCCACGUCGGCGGAUAUCCAAUAAAAGUGCUUUUUAUAUAAUUUAGGCAAUUUAGAGUUACAUUCGAUUCAUUUUAUCAAAUAUGAUAUCAAAGUCGACACCAGAUUGAGAAUGACUACUGCUUUUUCACUUUAUUUUAUCUUUCUGUCCUCCAAUGUUUGCCACUUUAAGCUUCUCUUUACCGUCUUUUGGCCAUCUUGAAGAGGGUAUUCUUGUAAUGAUAUUGUUCUUUGAAAUUCACUGCUAAUAUUAUGAGUUUUUUUUUUCAAUCACCAAUGGCCCAAAAAGCAUAAUCAUCCACUGCCUAAUUUCGCUAUCCAUCCACAUAGAACAACUUUUCAAGAACAUCCGAGAAGAUAAAAUUAGUGUUCAGGGUUGGGAUAGUGUUCUUGGUUUAUCCUGUUCUGUUCUUGCAGCCAUUUCAAUCUGUUUUAGCCAAUUUCCAUGAAUGAUAAAUCUUUUUUCUCGGUUUAAUCUCUAAAUAUUUUGUCAUUUUUCAUUUUGACUAAUAAUCACUGAUUUAUUUAUUUAUUUAUUUUUGAUAUAGGUGAUACAUUUGGUGAUAUUUCCAAGUGAAUUUGAACAAGUCCUAAUAUUAGUAAAAAUGCACAGCUAAAAUUUCUCUCCACAUGGAGAAUGUGGAAAUUGUUGAGAAAUUUAGAUAUUCCUUGUGAAGCAGACAUUGAAUAGGUGUCUGGAGAUUGUACAUCCCAAAUUUUAUGUUAGUGGGAAAAUUCUCUUUAUUCCUUGCAUAUGUUAGUUGUAAGGCCAUCUGGUAGAAUGACAUGUUGUUUAAAUUUUAUGGCUUGAUUUAUGCCUAAUACCUAGGGUUCAAAUAUAAGUUGUUUAGGAUCUAAUAAUGAUCAUCAAAGGUUUAAUUUAGGGGUCAUUGUUUGGUCCAAUGGAAUGUCCUGGAUAUUGUCUUGAGGCAGUUAGCAUAUGCAAUGAUGGUGAAGACUAUGUUUCUCUCCAAAUUCUGCCUUAUAUAACCCAUUUUGGUGGGCCAUAAUGGGGUAACGGGUUUGAACAGCCGUGGUCUGCAUUGUUUUCUACAUUUGUAGAUCUACAAGUUUGUUUCUUUUUGGAAAUUUCUGCCUUCUCACUUUAGUGCAGUUGCAUUUUUGUUAUGGUAUUUUUGAGACUGAAAUUGGCGUUCCCAUGUUUAUGCAGAGGUACAAAUUUUUUGCUUAUUUAAAAAUUUGGACUGCUGCUAAUGUAAGUUGCCUGUGUUUUAUUGAAGACAAAUGAUUGUUAGUAACGCAACUUAUUUGGAAUUUCAUUACCUUAUGAGAUUUGCUAUUCUCUCAUGUUAUGGGUGAAUCUUCCUGUUAUUUAUAUAUAGCUUCUUUGGGUCUUCCUAAUGAUAUCCUCUGUGAUUGCAGAAAGUGAGUCUUCCAGUUUUGGC